GCGAGUGAAGCGGCAACAGCUCAAAUUUGAAAUCUGGCGCAAGCCCGAGUUGUAAUUUGUAGAGGAUGCUUCAGGGCAGCGGCCGGUCUAAGUUCCUUGGAACAGGACGUCAUAGAGGGUGAGAAUCCCGUAUGCGACCGGUUGGCACCCGUCACGUAGCUCCUUCGACGAGUCGAGUUGUUUGGGAAUGCAGCUCUAAAUGGGAGGUAAAUUUCUUCUAAAGCUAAAUACCGGCCAGAGACCGAUAGCGCACAAGUAGAGUGAUCGAAAGAUGAAAAGCACUUUGGAAAGAGAGUUAAAAAGCACGUGAAAUUGUUGAAAGGGAAGCGCAUGCAACCAGACUUGUCGGCGGUGUUCCGCCGGUCUUCUGACCGGUCUAUUCGCCGCCGGCAGGCCAGCAUCAUCUGGGCGCGCCGGAUAAAGGCGUGGGGAAUGUGGCUCCUCGGAGUGUUAUAGCCCCGCGCACAAUACGGCGCCGCCCGGGUGAGGUCCGCGCUUCGGCUAGGAUGCUGGCGUAAUGGUUGUCUGCGGCCCGUCUUGAAACACGGACCAAGGAGUCUAACAUCUAUGCGAGUGUUCGGGUGUCAAACCCCUACGCGUAAUGAAAGUGAACGGAGGUGGGAAGCGCAAGCUGCACCAUCGACCGAUCCUGAUGUCUUCGGAUGGAUUUGAGUAAGAGCAUAGCUGUUGGGACCCGAAAGAUGGUGAACUAUGCCUGAAUAGGGUGAAGCCAGAGGAAACUCUGGUGGAGGCUCGCAGCGGUUCUGACGUGCAAAUCGAUCGUCAAAUU
rnacentral:rRNA from 1 species